ensembl:lncRNA
GUUCUUUCUAGGUUUUAAAGAUAAAUGGAGUUUAGUAUCAUCUCUAGAGAGUGUUCUUAAAAUUUAAUCUAAUUUUGUCCAACUUUCUUCUUAGGUAAUGGAUUUCCAGGGCUGUGGAAAGGCCAGCUUUGUGCAUGUUAUCCACUGAUCCAACUACUGCACCUAUAGUCAGAGAGGAAUCUGUUUCUGGUCUUCAACUAACAAAUGGAAAUGCGAUCUGCACGAUGUGGUGCUUGACAUUAAGAGUUGGACACAUAACUUUCCCUUCUCUGGAAUCAUGAAGGCUCUUUGGCCCCCACGAUUCUCUGCAUGGGGACCCAGAAAUCUGUGUUUUAACAAGCCCUGCAGAAGAUUCUGCUGCACACUCAGGUUUGAGAUCCACAGCCGUAAUUCUUCAGCCACUAACUCCAAGUGAUGUUUCCUCCUACUGUGU